CUUCAGGAAGACGUCAGCUGCAUUUCAAUCCGGUGUUCGCGCACCGGGUUGACUGUCUGACCUCAUUUACAUUACCUACGAUCACCGAAUUAAACGCCCCGGAAAGCAAAAUGAUAUGGAGAAAGAGAGAUCAAAGUUGGUAGUUUCUUCACCAUCUCCGAAAGCUAGUGCCAAACAACUUGGUGUUGGCAUGCGCACUGUCAGAAGGCCAUUCGUUUGGAUGACCCUCUAGAAGAGGAGACAACAGUUUAGACUUCACCAGCAAGAGAUAUCCAAAUACGUCAUCAACUAUUCUAAAGCAAUCACUUGCAAAUAAAAUAAAAGAACUGAACAAACAAACCAGAUAACAACCGAGCUUUCAUGAAUGGUUUAGUAUCAAAAGGUGGCAUAUAUUCAGAUAUGUUUGCAAUCAUAUAUUUUAUAUAUUCACCAUUCAACUAAAUGUCUUUCUACUUUUAAAUGGUAAUGUAGUGUAUAUUAUUUUGUAUUUUAAAUACUGUAACUGUGGUUUUGUUGUUUCUUAAACUUUACUAAUAUAGUUUUGUCUAACACUUUCAUUUUCUACUACAACAAUCAAAUCUUUCUUCAAUACAGUAAUUUAAAAAGACUUGUUUAUGCAUAAAAAAAUUGUUUUGAAAUUUUGAAGGAAUAUGUAC